rnacentral:rRNA from 1 species
GUAAGGAAUAUUGGUCAAUGGGGGCAACCCUGAACCAGCCAUGCCGCGUGAAGGAUGAAGGCGUUAUGCGUUGUAAACUUCUUUUGUAUGGGAAGAAUGACAGGGAUUUAUCCUUGGAGAGACGGUACCAUACGAAUAAGCACCGGCUAACUCCGUGCCAGCAGCCGCGGUAAUACGGAGGGUGCAAGCGUUAUCCGGAAUCACUGGGUUUAAAGGGUACGUAGGCGGUUAAUUAAGUCAGUAGUGAAAGACUGUCGCUCAACGAAGGAUGAGAUAGUGAUACUGGUUAACUUUAAUCAGGUUAGAGUUGGCGGAAUGGGUCAUGUAGCGGUGAAAUGCUUAGAUAUGACUUGGAACACCGAUAGCGAAGGCAGCUGACUGAGCCUUGAUUGACGCUGAGGUACGAAAGUGUGGGUAGCGAACAGGAUUAGAUACCCUGGUAGUCC